UUUAAGUCUGCAUUUCUAAAAGAGUUGGUUAAUACCUGUCGAAACAAUCCUCAUCCCAUGUUAAUCGGGGGGGAUUUCAACAUCCUUCGAUAUCAGCAGGAAAAAAACAACGAUCGGUUUGACACUAGGUGGCCUUUCCUCUUUAAUGUUGUUAUUGACAGCCUCGAUCUGAGGGAGAUCACGAUGUCUGGUCGUCAGUAUACCUGGGCCAACAACCGUUCGGUGCCGACCUUUGAAAAACUGGACCGGGUGCUAGUUACCACUGACUGGGAAUACAAAUAUCCCCUAGCAUCGGUUCGGGCACUUGAAAGAAUUGAGGCCUUAUCGGAUCACGCUCCGUUGCUAAUCGAUUUUGGACAACCAAUCCCGAGUUCUAAUCGCCACCAGUUUAAAUUUGAACUGGGAUGGUUCACUAGAGAGGGAUUUCAGGAGCUAGUUAAGAAAGUGUGGGCACGCCAGCCCCGCGGU
rnacentral:rRNA from 1 species